CGUCGAGGAAAGUCCGGACUCCGCAGGGCAGGACGCUGGGUAACCCCCAGGCGCGGCGACGCGCGGAACAGUGCCACAGAGAGCAGACCGCCAGCCGCCGGCGGGACCGAUGCCUCGGCAUCUGGUCGCCGGUUACCCGGCAGCUGGUAAGGGUGAAAGGGUGCGGUAAGAGCGCACCGGCGCCGGCGGUGACGUCGGCGGCCAGGUAAACCCCGUCCGGAGCAAGGCCAAGCAGGUGCGUUACAGGUGGCCCGCCGAGCACCAGGUAGGCCGCACGAGGCCGGCGGCAACGUCGGUCCCAGAGAGAUGGUCGCCACCUGCGCUCCGGCGCAGGGACAGAAUCCGGCUUACCGGCCGGCUCCCCUU
rnacentral:RNase_P_RNA from 1 species